AUUGAACGCUGGCGGCAGGCCUAACACAUGCAAGUCGAACGAGUGGCGGACGGGUGAGUCAUGUCUGGGAAACUGCCCGAUGGAGGGGGAUAACUACUGGAAAAGGUAGCUAAUACCGCAUACCAUCGGAUGUGCCCAGAUGGGAUUAGCGAGGAGGUGGGGUAACGGCUCACUUAGGCGACGAUCCCUCGCUGGUCUGAGAGGAGAACCAGCCACACGGGAACUGAGACACGGGCCAGACUCCUACGGGAGGCAGCAGUGGGGUAUAUUGCACAAUGGGCGCAAGCCUGAUGCAGCCAUGCCGCUUGUAUGAAGAAGGCCUGCGGGUUGUAAAGUACUUUCAGCGAGGAGGCGUUACUCGCAGAAGAAGCACCGGCUAACUCCGUGCCAGCAGCCGCGGUAAUAC
rnacentral:rRNA from 1 species